UACGUAGGGAGCAAGCGUUUGUCCGGAAUCAUUGGGCGUAAAGCGCGCGUAGGCGGCCUCAUAAGUCCGUUGUGAAAGUCAAAGGCUCAACCUUUGAAAGCCGAUGGAUACUGUGAGGCUAGAGUCCGGAAGAGGCGAGUGGAAUUCCUGGUGUAGCGGUGGAAUGCGCAGAUAUCAGGAGGAACACCAAUAGCGAAGGCAGCUCGCUGGGACGGUACUGACGCUAAGGCGCGAAAAGCGUGGGGAGCGAACGAGG
rnacentral:rRNA from 1 species